UACGAGGGGGGCGAGCGUUUGUUCGGAAUUAUUGGGCGUAAAGGGUGCGUAGGCGGUUUGGUAAGUCUUAUGUGAAAUCUACAGGCUCAACUUGUAGUCUGCAUGAGAAACUGCCGGGGCUUGAGUAUGGGAGAGGUGAGUGGAAUUCCUGGUGUAGCGGUGAAAUGCGUAGAUAUCAGGAGGAACACCUGUGGCGAAAGCGGCUCACUGGACCAUAACUGACGCUGAUGCACGAAAGCUAGGGGAGCAAACAGG
rnacentral:rRNA from 1 species